UACGAAGGGGGCUAGCGUUGCUCGGAAUUACUGGGCGUAAAGCGCACGUAGGCGGAUUGUUAAGUCGGGGGUGAAAUCCUGGAGCUCAACUCCAGAACUGCCUUCGAUACUGGCGAUCUCGAGUCCGGGAGAGGUGAGUGGAACUGCGAGUGUAGAGGUGAAAUUCGUAGAUAUUCGCAAGAACACCAGUGGCGAAGGCGGCUUCCUGGCCUGCAACUGACGCUGAGACGCGAAAGCGUGGGGAGCGAACCGG
rnacentral:rRNA from 1 species